CUGAGUUAAUCUUAUGUCUGAGAUCUGGAGGUGAAACCACCAGGCUGGGAGUGAAUGUCUGUUUUUCGCUUUGUCAUGUUCGAGUGGGCUGUGCCUGGGCAUCUCCCCAGAGCCGAGGUCAGCUGAGGUUUCAGUUUGAAAGAGUGGUAGCAGAUGGUGGCGUUCCUCAGAGAGGUGGCCUCAGAGGUGAACCAGGUUGCUGGAAAUACCUUUCCCCACCCUACACAAGAACGCCAAACAUCAGCCAUGGCAUCCCCCUUCAUUCACACCAGUGUCGUCUAGGGAAACCGAACAACGUCAGGGUUUUUAGGGGACAUAUUGUAUCUUGAGGCAUUUCAUCUGCAGAACCUGUCUAGGUGGGACACUGUUGGACACUUUCUUAGGACAAAUGAAAACUUCUGUGUGCUACUUGAAAGAGAAAGUACGCCCAGCGUUCCUUUCCAGAACUGGCAGUUACCACCACUCGCACUUUGGCUUCCGACCAGCUUUGACUGCAGAUGAAAAACUUGUCCAUCAAAGUGAAGUAACUUCCUCAAGGUCAAGUGACAAAUAAGACCAGAUCCUGGUCUCCUGCCUCCUGGUCCAGGCAGCCAGAUCUAAUCCAGGCAGCCUGCCUGGUAGGGUUUGCUCAUCAGGCACAUCUGCCAGGAACCAGCCUCAUCCCCACUGCCUGCGACACCAGCAAGUGCUUGGCUGGGCUCAGGGAGUGGGCGAACAGGGCUGCAGGAGAGACAAAGUCGGUGCCUUCUUCACUUUGCUGUGACGGCGCUGCUUUUUCCCUUUUCUCACCCUAGAGCUGCUCAAAUUCUCUCAGCUACAGGUAUUUCUGGAACACUUACUGAGUACCCUGCACUGAGCUAAAGCUAGACUUUUCUCAGAAUGAACUGAGAGUCUGUGAGGGGAUGCAGAUACCAAAAGGCAGUCACGACAGCGUAAUAAGGUGAAACGAGGUGGAUUCAGGUGCUACCUGCGCCCAGGAGAGGUCGUGCUCCGUGCAGGCUGGGUGGAGGACGGGCUGCUUUUACGGAAACUGUCAUCUAAGGUGACACCUGAAACAUAAGGAUCUGUGGCACUGCAACUAUGGGAAAAUGUUAUAAAUCCAAGCUUAGGCCUUACGACAGACCUAACAGGCAUGGAAAUUUAAGUUUGCUCGUAUAUAAUUUCUUUCUAAAGCAAAGAAAGAAGUCACUCAUACUCGUUGCUAAGACUUCUGAUUUUUACCAAUUAUCUUGAGGCUGAAACCCUUUCUGUUGUUUCGCUUUCCACACGACCACCUAAAAAGGUCCCAGUCCACUCAUGUGCUUUGCUCCACUGCUUUCUGACCCGUUAUGCAGGGUUGCCUCAAAAUAUUUCUUGGGAAUUCAGGGAGAGUUCACGAUGGGGAAGGCUGGCGACUGCGUCUCAGAACUCGCUCUCAGCAAGCCCUCCAAAGGUAACCGGCCGAGCCCUGCUUUUGAUCAAAUUUUAAUGAUCACGCUGAUAUAAACUACUUUCUGUUCCUGAUCUAUUUCCCAGGAUCUUUCCUGCAGUUAAUCACCAGCUGAAUGGAUCCUGGGGCUCCAGGCCAAAGUGAAAAUGCUGCUCAGCUUGCAAGCAUCAUUACAGAGCACUUUGAUUAGCUCUGACUCACCCUGCGCCGUCUCCACAGCCUGCAAGAAGGCUGCCUGUUACCUUUGUUUCCUCCAGUUCCCAUGGAUACCACCUGAAGGGGCUUCGAAAGCUUCUAAUACCGGCUUCCUCUGUCUUUUGUGACUCUCCACCGAAAUUUCUUCUUCCCCUCAUCCCCGGCAAGAGUUGUAGCCAGAACAUGCUGUCCAGCCUGGGACUACGUUUCUCAGCCUCCCUUGAGCCACUUGAGGUUAUGUGUCUACACCUUCACCAAUGGAACUUGAGCAAGAGGGUGCCACACUCAAGCUGGAGCCCACUGCCUCCAUGAUCUUUUCCUAUUCCCUUUUGGUCUUGUUGGUGAAAACAUGUAAUGGUCUUAAAAUCCAUGAGUUGCUAUCAGACUUGGUGCCUAAGCCACGCAUCAACCCAGAGCCCUUGUCUGGAUGGCUUCACGACAGAGAAAGAAACAGCUUGUUCCUCAGCUCACCACAUUUUAGAGAUCUUUAUUAGAAAGCUUACGUUGCCCUAGCAAACUUGGCCACAACGCUCCAAGUUUUCUGUCUCCAGGGUUACUCUGAGGAUCAAAAUUCAUUUUCACCACAGUCCCUCAGUGUGAAGAGAAGACUUUAACAAAAAGUCAGGUACACCGUUCUGCCUGCCCUUCACGUGUGCAGAGGUUUUGGCUGCUCCCAGCCAAGUCGCUGCACUUGGUUACCCCAUGAGUCCAACUGCUGGCCACAGGAGCUCCACGUGUACUGGGCCAAGAAAGCAGGCAGUCAGAGCUGCCAGAGCCGGUGGAGACAUCUCUCUGUUCUGGCACGUGAAUCUCCCUACUCUGGUAUGUGACCUCUCUAACAACUUGUCACACAUUUCUAAGACUCCAGACAUUUUUUUUUCAAACUUUGUCUUAAAUAGUGGCUUUUAAACUUUUAAAUUAAAAAAUUAAACCCACAGUAAAAUAUAAAUUUAACAUUGACCUGUACACACACUAACACACACACAUACACACACACAAUAUAAGCAAAAAUAUUUCGUGAGAAACAUGUAAUAUUUACCCUUACCCUGUGUGUUGCACUCUGAUACAUCCUAUUCAAUUUUAUUUCAUUUUUGAAAAAUUGCGAGACAUAAAUGACUACCUUGUUUUCACGACAGGUCGUGACCUACAGUUUGGGGAGCACAUUGUCCAACUGUUCUAAGCACUGCCCCGAGCACAUCAUCCCCUUAGACUGGGGCUCCAACCCAUCAAAUGCUUCGAAAGCCCUCGGUUUCAGGACCCCAGCCCAGGAGUGCGUGAGCUGUGCUAGGUUGGGGAGGCAGGUCCCGGGCCCCAGUCCCUCAGGAGGUGUCUUGGAGUUAGAAGGGACACCUUCUCAGCUGCAUAAAUCUCUUCCACAUCACCCCAGAACAGGUGGCCCAGGCUCUGCUCCACGUCCCCGGCUGUCAGGAGCUCACUGCCUGCUGCUUUAACUGACUGAGAUAUUAAAGAGUUCUUCAACGUUCCCAGUAGAAAUAACCAUGCUGCCACGUGCAUCCUCCAUGCUGGUCCUGCCCUUGGAAGCCAGGAAAAACCCUAUGGUCAUGUUUGGUUUUCAAGAGAGGAAAGAGUUGUUGACUCCAUCCAGAUGGGGACUGCGAGGGACUGGUCUGCCCUGGAGCCGGGGAAGGCUUCCAGUGGGUGCAGAGAACCAGAGCAGGAGCCUCUGAUAGACUUGCGAUGAUGCAUGUCCACUGGGAGCUCAGGAAGCAUAAAAGGAGCAUGUGCAGGUUUCUCCUGCAAAAGCCCGGGUCAGAGGCACAUCUCCAGCAGGACUGGCAUUCAGAAGGGCUACUUUGGGGAGACAGCUUCUUAAAAAAGGAGCAAUUUACGAUCUCAACAUUUUUGGAGAGAACGUGUUUUAUUCAUUCCCUGCCACAACCCACCUGUUGCAUAUGGCGCUGUGGGCAGCGCAGGAGUUACAGACUUACAGUUACUGGUUGUUCUUCAGACAGGCUGUGCCUUGUCUGGGGGAGGCGCGGAGAGAUGUUUCCUCAAACAGCCAAGAGCAAGAAGGCUAGAGGGAGUGCAUCCGUCAUGCUGGGGGUGCACCAAGGGUCAAGCGUAGGCAAACACAAUUCUGUGCACUCAAUGUGGCAUAUGGAACAUGUACAGAGAACCCGCCAGGAUGGCCGCCAAAAUGGAUGGAAAAUGGGAGAACGGAGAGGAGACGAUGGGGAGAGGCCAGGACAAUUUCCUGCACCAAUUGUCCUGGGUAAUCAGGACAGUCUCCCUGAGCAGACUGCUGUCCCGGCUUAUGUUUUAUUGCUUGGCCAGUGCACGGCAAGUCUGCUAGGUUUACAUUAAGGCGCAACACUCAGGAAAACAGCUGCCUUCAAAACAGUGAUUUUUGCUUUCUGGAGCUGCCCUAUCCUUUAGCAGUCUCACCUUCACUCUGCCGUCAAGAAGAUCUGCCUUUUGAAUGUACAAGUCAGAGUAAAACUGUGUCAAAGUUUUUAAACCUAUAACGUUUAACCACACUGUGGAUUCACAAUGGCGAAAAGCCUCAAUCGUCUUCCAAACUGGAAAGUUUAAAGAUACUUAGCACAAAGUUGGAUCAUGGAUCCACUUUUGAAAAAGAAACUUUCCAUUUCAGCUAGAAGAGCAUCACUUUAAGUAGGAGCACUGCCUGAAAGACUGUGUAAACUAUGACCACGAAAUAAGGAACUUUUUAAACAAACACAUUAGAAUGUCUAACCCAAAUAAGUGUCAGUCUUGGGAGCAUCUUUUUCGUCAAAUGAUGCCAUUAUUGCUCAAAGCUUUUUCAAAAUUCUUCUUUCCGAGGAGCCUUCAAAACGACUUGCACAAAAGCAGAAGGAUGUCACCUGACUUGAUAGUCACAGGUUUGCUUUCUUGAUGCAAUGCAAUUUUCUUCUUUUCACACUUUUUGCAACUUUAACCCUGCCCUGCUUCCCUCUUUCACGUCAUGAACUAAUAACCAAGGGAUCCCAAGAGACGUGUUGUAAUGGUGCUACCUGAGAAAGGAAAGGUCUGGGAGAAAGAGCAUGGGGCUAGUUAUAGCUCAGAAUAGGAGAGACCAAAGGAGCAUGGCCACUGCCUCAAUCCCUUUGGAUAUUGAGUGACUAUAAGAAAUGUAAUUGGAUAACUGGCCAAGUGUCCUCAACACAAAUCAUCUCAAGUUGAACCCCCAUUAAGUCAGGGGAUAUUCCUUGGCUAUAGCCAAGAGGUAGCAUCAUGCAUCUAACAGAGAUCUGGAUUUGGUCAAAGUCUUUUUUUGCAACAGACCAGAACAUGACCGGCCAGCCAUGCUGGAGCUGGUUGCCACUGGAUGGCAGGGAAUUUUGAGGCAGAGAUAAUGUAGCAAAGAACCAGUUGUUGUUUGGAUUCCCUCAAUGGCAGCAGCUGUAAGAGAGUCUUCUAAGUGUUGGCUUGGACCAAUGUUUGGGGAAAGAUUAGUUUGAGAGAGUUCUAGUUGUGUGGAGCUACAAGAGGAGAAAGAACCAGCUCAGGGUAGGCAAGAAUAACAGAGAACCUGAGGUGUGUACCCAGAUUUGGAAGACCUAGUUGGCUUGCUGUAAGGAUUAAAUGAGAUAUUUAUGCAAAUACUUUGAAACUAUAAAAUGCUUUUGUUGAUGUGUUAUUCGCCACCUCUAUUUACCUCCCAGGAAAGCAAACGAAUUUCAACCUUCCUGCCCCUCCAGUUAUCACUUAUCUACAUCCACCUCCAUCUCCUUUGCUCUUCCUAUAGCUAGUGAAAGACACUUCCUGUUUUUAUCCAAUGCUAAUUCCUACACCUGUGCAAUGCCUGUGCUCUUCUGAUCCAUCCCUUCCUGCUUCCUGACUUCUUGUUCCAUCAGUUAUGCUUCAUUUGUUCACCUCGUCAACCUCUCCCUCCCUCUUCCCCAUCAUAAUUCAAACAUGAUCUAAGAUCUCCCAACUUAAAAAAGGAGAAAAAUCCUUCCUCACACCAUGAUUUUCCUCCCCCUAGGGCACCUCUUGUUUCUCAUACUGUUGCCUUUUCUUCAUAGUCAGCCUUCUGGCAAGGGCAAUCUCUACUCAUUACCUCCAGCUGCUUAUGUCCCAUCCAUAUGUGACCUCCCUGCAGAGGGCUCCUGGAUCUGUCACUGCACUGGACCUGGUUUUGUCAAGGUGACCAGUGACCACCCUCCACCAAAUCCAAUGGCCACGUGUUUGUUCUAUUAAUUAACUUUCUAAACCCUCUUCCCUCCGCUGCUAUGGGAACACACUCUCCUGCGGUUUCUCUCACUUUUCCAACUGUUCUGUCCCAUUCUUCUUCCUCCAUCUGUUCCUUAAACAGUGGGGAUCCCUCUUGGACUCUAGGGGCACUGAUGGUUCUUCAGCUCUUAGGAGGAAACUGGUUGGCACAUCGUUGGUUCACAGUCAAUGCCUUUUCUUGAACCAAAGGGUUUGGAGUCGGUGCUUUCUCCCUCUGGGACCCUUCUUUGGGUUCUUAUCUUCCCAGAGGUCUGGUGUAGUGAGUCAGCCUGUGGCCACCUGCUGCUGGGAAAGCACAUGACCUAAAGGUGAGGCUUCCAUCAGCAACGCUCCGGGCUCCAGAACAAACCCGUCUUUGUUCCUUCUGCUUUUUUGCUGUGCCUUUUCUAGGGUUCACCUUGCCUCUCUGUAAAAGGGGUAAGGCACAGCGGAGACUUGCAUCUGGGCUUAUGAGGACAGGUGGCCACUCGGUCCAUUGUAUCUAAGUCUUGGAUCUGCUUCCCGCAAGCCAGAGAGAGAUCCUGUGUGGCUCCAUUAGCCACACCCGGCACACCAGCCUAGGGCUCCUCGCUGAGGUCGGCGGCUAAGGCCCUCAUAUAUCUACUUCUUGGGGGCUUCCUCUGCCUGGCUACCUUCUUUAUGAACUUAUCUGCCCCAGGGUCCUAGAACAGGAUGUAGGUGUUGAGGUCUCCGGGGCGGGUAUUCUCCACUGCGUCGCAAUCUGAC
rnacentral:lncRNA from 1 species